GGCUGAGAUAGCUCAUGCGGUAGAGCAUGAGGCUCUUAAUCUCAGGGUUGCAGGUUCAAGUCCCACAUUGGACA